rnacentral:rRNA from 1 species
UACGUAGGGUGCGAGCGUUGUCCGGAAUUACUGGGCGUAAAGAGUUCGUAGGCGGUUUGUCGCGUCGUUCGUGAAAACUUGGGGCUUAACUCCAAGCGUGCGGGCGAUACGGGCAGACUUGAGUACUACAGGGGAGACUGGAAUUCCUGGUGUAGCGGUGAAAUGCGCAGAUAUCAGGGAGGAACACCGGUGGCGAAGGCGGGUCUCUGGGUAGUAACUGACGCUGAGGAACGAAAGCGUGGGUAGCGAACAGG